GGUCUGCAACCCGACCUCUUGAAGCCGGAAUCGCUAGUAAUCGCAGGUCAGACAUACUGCGGUGAAUACGUUCUCAAGUCUUGUACUCACUGCCCGUCAAGUCAGGGGAGCCGGGAGUACCCGAAAUCUGCCUCAGGUAGAUCAAGGUAAGCUUGGUGACAAGGAUUAAGUCGUAACAAGGCACGGGUAGCGGAAGCUGCUCGUGGAU
rnacentral:rRNA from 1 species